CCUACGGGAGGCAGCAGUGGGGAAUAUUGCGCAAUGGGCGAAAGCCUGACGCAGCGACGCAGCGUGAGGGACGAAGGCCUUCGGGUUGUAAACCUCUUUCAGCGGGGACGAAGCGAAAGUGACGGUACCCGCAGAAGAAGCACCGGCUAACUACGUGCCAGCAGCCGCGGUAAUACGUAGGGUGCAAGCAUUGUCCGGAUUUAUUGGGCGUAAAGAGCUCGUAGGCGGCUUGUCACGUCGGAUGUGAAAACUCGGGGCUCAACCCCGAGCCUGCAUUCGAUACGGGCUAGCUAGAGUGUUGCAGGGGAGACUGGAAUUCCUGGUGUAGCGGUGAAAUGCGCAGAUAUCAGGAGGAACACCGGUGGCGAAGGCGGGUCUCUGGGCAACUACUGACGCUGAGGAGCGAAAGCGUGGGGAGCGAACAGGAUUAGAUACCCUGGUAGUCCACGCCGUAAACGGUGGGCGCUAGGUGUGGGGAACCUUCCACGUUCUCUGUGCCGUAGCUAACGCAUUAAGCGCCCCGCCUGGGGAGUACGGCCGCAAGGCUAAAACUCAAAUGAAUUGACGG
rnacentral:rRNA from 1 species